rnacentral:rRNA from 1 species
UACGGGGGGGGCAAGCGUUGUUCGGAAUUACUGGGCGUAAAGGGCGCGUAGGCGGCCUACUAAGUCGGAUGUGAAAUCCCUCGGCUCAACCAAGGAAGUGCAUCCGAAACUGCUGAGCUUGAGUACUUAAGAGGAUCGCGGAAUUCCCGGUGUAGAGGUGAAAUUCGUAGAUAUCGGGAGGAACACCAGUGGCGAAGGCGGCGAUCUGGGAAGAUACUGACGCUGAGGUGCGAAAGCGUGGGGAGCAAACAGG